GACGAACGCUGGCGGCGUGCUUAACACAUGCAAGUCGAACGGAAAGGCCCUGCUUUUGUGGGGUGCUCGAGUGGCGAACGGGUGAGUAACACGUGUGUAACCUGCCCUUGACUUUGGGAUAACUUCAGGAAACUGGGGCUAAUACCGGAUAGGAGCUCCUGCUGCAUGGUGGGGGUUGGAAAGUUUCGGCGGUUGUGGAUGUACUCGCGGCUUAUCAGCUUGUUGGUGAGGUAGUGGCUUACCAAGGCUUCGACGGCUAGCCCGCCUGGGAGGGUGACCGGGCUCAUUGGGACUGCGAGACGGCGCAGACGCCUACGGGAGGCAGCAGUGGGGAGUAUUGCACAAUGGGCGGAAGCCUGAUGCAGCAACCCCGCGUGCGGGAUGACGGCCUUCGGGUGGUAAACCGCUUUCUCCGGUGACGAGGCGUGAGUGACGGUAACGGGUAAAGAAGCACCGGCUAACUACGUG
rnacentral:rRNA from 1 species